rnacentral:lncRNA from 1 species
CCCCCUGCCGCCCGCUAGAUGGCGCCUCUCACACGCCGCAGCGCCUCUCUGAUUCCUGGCGCCCGGUUGUGCUCCAGUGGGGCGGGUUGGCGGCGGCAGAAGCACCACCCUGAGGCCGCUGGCUUGAGCUCCUGCCGCAGAGGGAGGCGGGGAGCCAAACGCGCCGCUCCCCUCCCCGCGCGGGCUGCGGCCGCUGCCAGGAUGCCUCGGGAGCGCGGCGGCAGCUGCUGGCUGCUCCCCGCGCUGCUGCUCCUGCCGCCGCUCUGCGCGCCGGUUACUAUGGAAGUAGAAUCAGAAUGGCUACUGGUAGCCAGCCAGAGAGGGUGA